UACGUAGGGUGCAAGCGUUGCCCGGAUUUAUUGGGCGUAAAGGGCGCGUAGGCGGCUCGGCACGUCCGUUGUGAAAUCGCCCGGCUCAACUGGGCGGGGUCAGCGGAUACGGCGUGGCUGGAGCAAGCUAGGGGGCAAUGGAAUUCCCGGUGUAGUGGUGGAAUGCGUAGAUAUCGGGAGGAACACCAGUGGCGAAGGCGGUUGCCUGGAGCUUUGCUGACGCUGAGGCGCGAAAGCGUGGGAGCGAUCCGG
rnacentral:rRNA from 1 species